GGGGUUGUGGCUCAGAGGUAGAGAGUUCCUCUAGUACGUGUGAGGCCCUGAGUUUGAUCCUCAGCACCACA
rnacentral:tRNA from 1 species